rnacentral:rRNA from 1 species
CCUACGGGUGGCAGCAGUGAGGAAUAUUGGUCAAUGGGCGGAAGCCUGAACCAGCCAAGUAGCGUGCGGGAUGACGGCCCUACGGGUUGUAAACCGCUUUUAUACGGGAAUAACGCCCCCCACGUGUGGCGGUCUGCAUGUACCUUGCGAAUAAGGACCGGCUAAUUCCGUGCCAGCAGCCGCGGUAAUACGGGAGGUCCGGGCGUUAUCCGGGUUUAUUGGGGUUAAAGGGAGCGUAGGCCGGACGUCAAGGUCGCUGUGAAAUGUCCGGGCUCAACCCGGGCCCUGCAGUUGAAACUGGCGGGCUUGAGUGCGCAAAAGGCAGGCGGAAUUCGUGGUGUAGCGGUGAAAUGCAUAGAUAUGACGAAGAACCCCGAUUGCGAAGGCAGCCUGCCGGGGCGCAACUGACGCUGAGGCUCGAAGGCGCGGGUAUCGAACAGGAUUAGAUACCCGAGUAGUC